rnacentral:sRNA from 1 species
AAUAUGUUGAGGUUCACUCAGAGUGUUCUGAUUGAAAUGAUUCUUUUUCAGACUGUUUUUGAAUUGAUUGAACAUCUGUUCUUAUGCUAGCUGAGGGAUGAUGAUGGUUGAUCUGAAUAUGAGUGUUGAUGCUAAGUAUGGAGCAGUUCUGAGAGUGUUGAUGUGUAACUCUAUAUAUUGUUCUGAUGUGACUGAGUCAGUUAACACCACAGUGAAGAACUGGACUCAUUGACUUUGGCUGAAAAAAUACUGAAAGUAUGCAUGGUGUCAGAGCAUGGAGCUGUGAUGAGAUAUCUGCCACUGAUGCUCUUUAUUGUAAUACUGUUGCAUACAGAUG